rnacentral:rRNA from 1 species
GACGAACCGUGCGAACGUUAUUCGGAAUCACUGGGCUUAAAGGGUGCGUAGGCGGCUGAGAGGGUGGGGUGUGAAAUCCCUCGGCUUAACCGAGGAAUUGCGCUCCAACCGCUUGGCUAGAGUGAGGCAGAGGUGAGCAGAACUAAUGGUGGAGCGGUGAAAUGCGUUGAUAUCAUUAGGAAUACCAGAGGCGAAGGCGGCUCACUGGGCCUCAACUGACGCUGAUGCACGAAAGCUAGGGUAGCGAACGGG